AUUGAACGCUGGCGGCAUGCCUUACACAUGCAAGUCGAACGGUAGCGCGGGGGCAACCCUGGCGACGAGUGGCGAACGGGUGAGUAGCGCAUCGGGACGUGCCCAGUAGUGGGGGAUAGCUCGGCGAAAGCCGGAUUAAUACCGCAUACGACCCACGGGUGAAAGCGGGGGACCGCAAGGCCUCGCGCUAUUGGAGCGGCCGAUGCCCGAUUAGCUAGUUGGUGAGGUAAUGGCUCACCAAGGCGACGAUCGGUAGCUGGUCUGAGAGGACGACCAGCCACACUGGGACUGAGAAACGGCCCAGACUCCUACGGGAGGCAGCAGUGGGGAAUUUUGGACAAUGGGGGAAACCCUGAUUCAGCCAUGCCGCGUGCGGGAAGAAGGCCUUCGGGUUGUAAAGCUCUUUCGGCCGGGAAGAAAUCGCACGGGCUAAUACCCUGUGUGGAUGACGGUACCGGAAUAAGAAGCACCGGCUAGCUACGUGCCAGCAGCCGCCGUAACAC
rnacentral:rRNA from 1 species